rnacentral:rRNA from 1 species
CAGUCGCCGCGGGAAUACGUAGGUCCCGAGCGUUGUCCGGAUUUAUUGGGCGUAAAGCGAGCGCUGGCGGUUAGAUAAGUCUGAAGUUAAAGGCUGUGGCUUAACCAUAGUACGCUUUGGAAACUGUUUAACUUGAGUGCAAGAGGGGAGAGUGGAAUUCCAUGUGUAGCGGUGAAAUGCGUAGAUAUAUGGAGGAACACCGGUGGCGAAAGCGGCUCUCUGGCUUGUAACUGACGCUGAGGCUCGAAAGCGUGGGGCGCAAACAGGAUUAGAUACCCGAGUAGUCCCUGUCUCUUAUACA